rnacentral:rRNA from 1 species
UACGUAGGGUGCAAGCGUUAAUCGGAAUACUGGGCGUAAAGCGUGCGCAGGCGGUUCUAUAAGACAGAUGUGAAAUCCCCCGGGCUCAACCUGGGAACUGCAUUUGUGACUGUAGAGCUGGAGUACGGCAGAGGGGGAUGGAAUUCCGCGUGUAGCAGUGAAAUGCGUAGAUAUGCGGAGGAACACCGAUGGCGAAGGCAAUCCCCUGGGCCUGUACUGACGCUCAUGCACGAAAGCGUGGGGAGCAAACAGG